rnacentral:rRNA from 1 species
GAUGAACGCUGGCGGCGUGCCUAAUACAUGCAAGUCGAGCGAAUGGAUUAAGAGCUUGCUCCUAUGAAGUUAGCGGCGGACGGGUGAGUAACACGUGGGUAACCUGCCCAUAAGACUGGGAUAACUCCGGGAAACCGGGGCUAAUACCGGAUAACAUUUUGAACCGCAUGGUUCGAAAUUGAAAGGCGGCUUCGGCUGUCACUUAUGGAUGGACCCGCGUCGCAUUAGCUAGUUGGUGAGGUAACGGCUCACCAAGGCAACGAUGCGUAGCCGACCUGGGAGGGUGAUCGGCCACACUGGGACUGAGACACGGCCCAGACUCCCACGGGAGGCAGCAGUAGGAAAUCUUCCGCAAUGGACGAAAGUCUGACGGAGCAACGCCGCGUGAGUGAUGAAGGCUUUCGGGUCGUAAAACUCUGUUGUUAGGGAAGAACAAGUGCUAGUUGAAUAAGCUGGCACCUUGACGGUACCUAACCAGAAAGCCACGGCUAACUACGUGCCAGCCGCCGCUGUAA